GACGAACCGUGCGAACGUUAUUCGGAAUCACUGGGCUUAAAGCGCGUGUAGGCGGGAUGGCACGUCGGACGCUGAAAGCCCCGGCUCAACCGGGGAAGGGCGCCGAUACGACCGACCUGGAGGGACGUAGGGGGACCUGGAACUUCCGGUGGAGCGGUGAAAUGCGCAGAUAUCAGGAGGAACACCGGUGGCGAAGGCGGGUCUCUGGGCCGUUACUGACGCUGAGGAGCGAAAGCGUGGGGAGCGAACAGG
rnacentral:rRNA from 1 species